rnacentral:tRNA from 1 species
GCCUUCGUGGUGUAAUGGUCAGCACACUGAGCCGGUAUUUCAGAGGUCCGCGGUUCGAUCCCCGGCGAGGUCA